CCUACGGGGGGCAGCAGUGGGGAGUAUUGCACAAUGGGUGCAAGCCUGAUGCAGCCAUGCCGCGUGUGUGAAGAAGGCCUUCGGGUUGUAAAGCACUUUCAGCGGGGAGGAAGGCGUUAAGGUUAAUAACCUUGUCGAUUGACGUUACCCGCAGAAGAAGCACCGGCUAACUCCGUGCCAGCAGCCGCGGUAAUACGGAGGGUGCAAGCGUUAAUCGGAAUUACUGGGCGUAAAGCGCACGCAGGCGGUCUGUCAAGUCGGAUGUGAAAUCCCCGGGCUCAACCUGGGAACUGCAUUCGAAACUGGCAGGCUAGGGUCUUGUAGAGGGGGGUAGAAUUCCAGGUGUAGCGGUGAAAUGCGUAGAGAUCUGGGGGAAUACCGGUGGCGAAGGCGGCCCCCUGGACAAAGACUGACGCUCAGGUGCGAAAGCGUGGGGAGCAAACAGGAUUAUACCCUUGUAGUC
rnacentral:rRNA from 1 species